GAUGAAGAACGCAGCGGAAUGCGAUAAGUAAUGUGAAUUGCAGAAUUCAGUGAAUCAUCGAAUCUUUGAACGCACAUUGCGCCCGCUAGUAUUCUGGCGGGCAUGCCUGUCCGAGCGUCAUUUCAACCCUCAAGCCCCCGGGCUUGGUGUUGGGGAUCGGCGAGCCUCCGCGCCCGCCGUCCCCUAAAUCUAGUGGCGGUCUCGCUGUAGCUUCCUCUGCGUAGUAGCACACCUCGCACUGGGAAACAGCGCGGCCACGCCGUUAAACCCCCAACUUCUGAACGUUUGACCUCGGAUCAGGUAGGAAUACCCGCUGAACUUAAGCAUAUCAAUAAGCGGAGGA
rnacentral:misc_RNA from 1 species